ACGCUCGACACCUACGGGGGCAGCAGUGGGGAAUAUUGGGCAAUGGGCGCAAGCCUGACCCAGCAACGCCGCGUGAAGGAUGAAGGCUUUCGGGUUGUAAACUUCUUUUAACAGGGACGAAAUAAAUGACGGUACCUGUUGAAUAAGCCACGGCUAACUACGUACCAGCAGCCGCGGUAAUCUGAGCGGGCUGGCAAGGC
rnacentral:rRNA from 1 species